GCAGACAGGAGUGAGUCCAAGGUUUUGGUCAAACCCUGCCUGGCAUGAACUAAUGAGCUCAGGCUCAGGCCAUACUGCCUGGGUUCAGAUCCUGGCUCAUCCAUUUCCUAGCUGUGUAGCCUGGGGCAAGUUGCUUGACCUCUCUUUGCUUCUAUUUCCUCAGCCAUAAGGUGGGAACUACCCUUCAUCAAAGAGUAGCUGUGAGGACUGAAGGAGGCAACGCAUAUGAACUCAUUCUGGAGUAGGAUGGGCCCUUCAUCCACUAUGACUGGCACCAUGGGAAGAUGGAGGCACAGCGGGGGAGGCGUGCAGCUGCAAGUGAAGGAAUGCCAAGAUUGCCAGCCACAGCCAGAAGCCAGAAGAGGCCAGGAAGGAUUCCACCCAGAGUGCAGCAUGGCCCUGGUGACACCUUGAUCUUGGACUUCGGGCCUCCAAAGCUGUGAAAGAAUAAAUUUCUGUUGUUUAAAGCCACCCAAUUUGUGGUACAUUCUUUUUAUGGUUUGUUUGUUUGUUUGUUUGUUUGUUUGCAAUGGAGUCUCACUCUGUUGUCCAGGCUGGAGUGCAGUGGCGCAGUCUUGACUCACUGCAACCUCUGCCUCCCAGGUUCAAGCAAUUCCUCUGCCUCAGCCUCCUGAGUAGCUGGAACUACAAGCACGUGCCACCACGCCCGCUAAUUUUUGUAUUUUUAAUGGAGACGGGGUUUCACCAUAUUGCCCAGGCCAGUCUCGAACUCCUGACUUUGUGAUCCGCCCACCUCGGCCUCCCAAAGUGCUAGGAUUACACAUGUGAGCCACCACGCCUGGCCUGUGGUACAUUCUUAAAGCAGCCCUAAGAAAUCAAUACAAGAAAUGUCUAGGCAGGGCAAGGUGGCUCACGCCUAUAACCCCAGCAAUUUGGGAGGCCGAGGUGGGAGGACCACCUGAGGUCAGGAGUUCAAGACCCGCCCAGCCAACAUGGCGAAACCCCA
rnacentral:lncRNA from 1 species